AUGGGAAGAUUUGAGCAAUUCAUAGAUAAUGUUUAUGAUUAUGAAAUUGUUAUGAUUGUGAAUUUUGUAAUCGUAUUUUACUUAAUUUGUUUCAGUCAGCAGUGCAACUCGUUUAAGACGAGAGCUUUUCAGGUGAAGGAUGGUCUGGAGAGCAGUGAUCUUGAUGUAGUUGUGAAGUUGAAUCCUGAGAAGUUGGAAAAGAAUAGCAAUCAUCCUCGCUUUUCAAUUUGCUUCUUAUUGGAUUGA